rnacentral:misc_RNA from 1 species
AGUCGUAACAAGGUAACCGUAGGUGAACCUGCGGUUGGAUCAUUAACAAUGGUUUUCAAACCUUUUAUCUGUGCACUGUAUUGUUUUUGGUGACUCCUGCUCAGCCUUUGGGAUGAGGAGGUCUGUCUCUGGCUUGCCUCGGACAGAAACGGUCACCGACACUUUUAAACCAUGUUUUGAAUCGAGUCUUGAAUUUGUAUUAAAAUGAAAAACUUUUGACAACGGAUCUCUUGGCUCUC